CCCAGGGUAGCCUGCCACAGCACUUGCAACUCUCUCAGCAGGUGUCUCUCGUUGGUCACAACAGCUUGAACUGGGCCAGGCAGGUUGCCGAUGUGAGCCUUCCCAAGUACAUUAGUGAGUUUUUUCAGAUGCCAAGCAGCUGAGGUUCAAAUCAGUGUUUCAAUAUGGGAUUCAAAUAUUAUUAACAUGAGUUUUCUUUUCAGUCGGUUGAUAUGAUGCAUUGAAUCAUGUGGUUGUUAAACGUUGAAACACUCAUAUUAGUGGGAUCCAUCCCACUUCAAUAUGUCAAAUAAUUAUUUUUGUACAUUUUAUGGAUUCAGUUUUUUUUCUUUUUUUUUUUUUUUUAGGAAUAAUGGAAUAGGACCGUGGUUCUAUUUUGUUGGUUUUUGGAACUGAGGCCAUGAUUAAGAGGGACGGCCGGGGCAUUCGUAUUGUGCCGCUAGAGGUGAAAUUCUUGGACCGGCGCAAGAUGGACCAGAGCAAGAGCAUUUGCCAAGAAUGUUUUCAUUAGUCAAGAAUGAAAGUUGGAGGUUCGAAGAUGAUCAGAUACCGUCAUAGUUCCGACCAUAAACGAAGCCAACUGGUGAUGCAUCAGCAUUAUUCCUGUGACCCGCCGGGCAGCUUCCCGGAAACCAAAGUCUUUGAGUUCUGGGGGGAGUAUUGUUGCAAAGCUGAAACUGGAUUCAAUUUUAUAAUUU
rnacentral:ncRNA from 1 species